rnacentral:siRNA from 1 species
UGACGAUAGUCAAAGCAGCUCCCC